CACGUAGGGUGCAAGCGUUGUCCGGAAUUAUUGGGCGUAAAGAGCUCGUAGGCGGUUCGGUAAGUCGGGUGUGAAAACUCUGGGCUCAACCCAGAGCCGCCACCCGAUACUGCUGUGACUCGAGUGCGGUAGGGGAGCGGGGAAUUCCUGGUGUAGCGGUGAAAUGCGCAGAUAUCAGGAGGAACACCAGUGGCGAAGGCGCCGCUCUGGGCCGUGACUGACGCUGAGGAGCGAAAGCGUGGGUAGCAAACAGG
rnacentral:rRNA from 1 species